rnacentral:rRNA from 1 species
UACGUAGGGUGCGAGCGUUAAUCGGAAUUACUGGGCGUAAAGCGUGCGCAGGCGGUUUUGUAAGCCAGAUGUGAAAUCCCCGGGCUUAACCUGGGAACUGCAUUGGUGACUGGCAGGCUUUGAGUGUGGCAGAGGGAGGUAGAAUUCCACGUGUAGCAGUGAAAUGCGUAGAGAUGUGGAGGAAUACCGAUGGCGAAGGCAGCCUCCUGGGCCAACACUGACGCUCGAUGCACGAAAGCGUGGGAGCAAACAGG